rnacentral:rRNA from 1 species
AGUGAACGCUGGCGGUAGGCCUAACACAUGCAAGUCGAACGGCAGCACAGUAAGAGCUUGCUCUUACGGGUGGCGAGUGGCGGACGGGUGAGGAAUACAUCGGAAUCUACUUUUUCGUGGGGGAUAACGUAGGGAAACUUACGCUAAUACCGCAUACGACCUACGGGUGAAAGCAGGGGAUCUUCGGACCUUGCGCGAUUGGAUGAGCCGAUGUCGGAUUAGCUAGUUGGCGGGGUAAAGGCCCACCAAGGCGACGAUCCGUAGCUGGUCUGAGAGGAUGAUCAGCCACACUGGAACUGAGACACGGGCCAGACUCCUACGGGAGGCAGCAGUGGGGAAUAUUGGACAAUGGGCGCAAGCCUGAUCCAGCCAUACCGCGUGGGUGAAGAAGGCCUUCGGGUUGUAAAGCCCUUUUGUUGGGAAAGAAAAGCAGCAGGUUAAUACCCCGCUGUUCUGACGGUACCCAAAGAAUAAGCACCGGCUAACUUCGU